AUCAAAACAAGACGCGCCUACAACAUGGACGGAGGGCAUGUAAACGGUGUACCAGCACUGGCAUGAUGGACUCGGACAGCCUGAUCAAGCUGCUGCCGGAGCUGCUGAACCAUGGGCCUGACCAGCCAGCUGGAGGUCGGCCGCGGCUCGGCGGCUGGUCCGCUGGUGCCGCCUGUUCCGAUGAAGCCUCGGGACAGUCGCAGUCCGACUGUGACCAGACAUCAGACAGCACGUCAGAUGAGCAGGAGGACGGGUCAGAAGAAACGGAGCAAGAUGUCCAGCACGUCGGAGAACAACGCUCCCCGAAGCUGGUCGACCUGGACGAAAUAGAGAGGUUCCUCGAUGAUAUCUCGACGUCCCACCAAUCCUCCGGACAGGGUAGGUAUACGCUGAGC